AGCAGCCGCGGUAAUUCCAGCUCCAAUAGCGUAUAUUAAAGUUGUUGCAGUUAAAAAGCUCGUAGUUGAAUUUCGGGGUUAGUAGGUUGGUCAUGCCUCUGGUAUGUACUGGUCUCACUGAUUCCUCCUUCCUGAUGAACCUUAAUGCCAUUAAUUUGGUGUUUUGGGGAAUUUGGACUGUUACUUUGAAAAAAUUAGAGUGUUUAAAGCAGGCAUUUUGCUUGAAUACAUUAGCAUGGAAUAAUAAAAUAGGACGGCAUGAUUCUAUUUUGUUGGUUUCUAGGAUCACCGUAAUGAUUAAUAGGGAUAGUUGGGGGCAUUAGUAUUCAAUUGUCAGAGGUGAAAUUCUUGGAUUUAUUGAAGACUAACUACUGCGAAAGCAUUUGCCAAGGAUGUUUUCAUUAAUCAAGAACGAAAGUUAGGGGAUCGAAGACGAUCAGAUACCGUCGUAGUCUUAACCAUAAACUAUGCCGACUAGGAAUCAGACGAUGUUAAUUUUUUAAUGACUCGUUUGGCACCU
rnacentral:misc_RNA from 1 species